AGAUAUCCUUGACCAGUUCUGGAGGAAGCAAACGAAUACACCCAAAGUCAUGCUUAAAUCGCCCGGUGAUUGAUUAUUAGAUUAGAAAAAAUUAAAAAUUUAUCUUGAUUCCCAGUAAGCAUUCAGUAUUGUUUGUGUGUUAGAAUUGCAGUUGUUUGCUUUUAUUUUAUCAUGUUGUUACAUAUGCCUGGUUUAUUCCUAGCUUUACUGUUGAUGUAUUCCCCAUUCACAAAGGUCUAGCUCUAUACCAAAUGUGUGAGUCUUGAUGAGAUUGAGAUGAAGUCUCGGUGAGAUUGAGAUGAAUGACGCAAACGUUGUAUGUGUGGCAAGGGAUUGGAAUGAAAAGUCGAGUAUAAACAAAAGUCCAUCUUCUCUUAUUAGAGAUAAAUGUCAUUUCAUAAAGUUUAUAUUCUUUCAUUUAAUAUCCUACCUAUGUCUUGAUGAUACAGAAAGUUUAUCUCUUAAUUAUUAAAAGUGAAUCGGUUUUUUUUUAAACAAAAGUUAAUUACCUUUGAAUCAGAUUGAAUUGUUACAAAAUGUUAUCUCUGUGUUAAGAUUAUGAAAUGUUAUAAAUGUUAUAUAUUCUCUGAUUGUUACAUUCUCUGCAUAAAUAAUGAAAAGUUACAAGUGUUUAUACAUCUCUGUAUAUUGUCACUGAAUAAAAUGGUCACCAAGUGUGUUGCAUCCCAACCAGGAAUAAAUACAAAUAAAUACAAAUUCUUGUG
rnacentral:sRNA from 1 species